rnacentral:rRNA from 1 species
UUCGGUGAUUCGACGCCGUGGUCCCACCUCUUCCCAUUCCGAACAGAGAAGUGAAACGCGGUAGUGCCGAUGAUACUACGGGACUAGCUCCCAUGGGAAAGUAGGUAAUCGCCGGAA